rnacentral:misc_RNA from 1 species
GAUGAAGAACGUAGCGAAAUGCGAUAAGUAAUGUGAAUUGCAGAAUUCAGUGAAUCAUCGAAUCUUUGAACGCACAUUGCGCCCGCUAGUAUUCUGGCGGGCAUGCCUGUCCGAGCGUCAUUUCAACCCUCAUGCCCCCGGGCUUGGUGUUGGGGAUCGGCGAGCCUCCGCGCCCGCCGUCCCCUAAAUCUAGUGGCGGUCUCGCUGUAGCUUCCUCUGCGUAGUAGCACACCUCGCACUGGGAAACAGCGCGGCCACGCCGUUAAACCCCCAACUUCUGAACGUUUGACCUCGGAUCAGGUAGGAAUACCCGCUGAACUUAAGCAUAUCAAUAAGCGGAGGA